GAUGAACGCUGGCGGCGUGCCUAAUACAUGCAAGUCGAGCGAACGGACGAGAAGCUUGCUUCUCUGAUGUUAGCGGCGGACGGGUGAGUAACACGUGUAUAACCUACCUAUAAUACUGGGAUAACUUCGGGAAACCGUAGCUAAUACCGGAUAAUAUUUUGAACCGCAUGGUUCAAAAGUGAAAGACGGUCUUGCUGUCACUUAUAGAUGGAUCCGCGCUGCAUUAGCUAGUUGGUAAGGUAACGGCUUACCAAGGCAACGAUGCAUAGCCGACCUGAGAGGGUGAUCGGCCACACUGGAACUGAGACACGGUCCAGACUACUACGGGAGGCAGCAGUAGGGAAUAUUCCGCAAUGGGCGAAAGCAUGACGGAGCAACGCCGCGUGAGUGAUGAAGGUCUUCGGAUCGUAAAACUCUGUUAUUAGGGAAGAACAUAUGUGUAAGUAACUGUGCACAUCUUGACGGUACCUAAUCAGAAAGCCACGGCUAACUACGUG
rnacentral:rRNA from 1 species